UGUUUAUAUGAACAUUUUUGUUGAUUUUAUAAAAUAUAUAUUAGAAUAAACACGUGGUGCGUCUCAAUGGAUCAGUAAAGAAAGAACUGAAACUGAAUUUAAGAUAUAUUUUAUUGGAAGAUACGGUUUCUAUCAAAGUGAUAAGCAAAUUUGGGUCGACAAUAUUUCAUAUGACAGUUCCACUAUAAAUCUCAUAAGAAGUAGUUGUACGCAGAGGCGUAUUUUUCUAGAGAAAAUGGUUGUGAUGAAUAUAUUUAUUUUCGUAUUUAUUUUUCGCCUUGUUGAUGGGGUAACGUAUAUGAUACUUAAUAUUUAUUCAACAUCCUUAUUGUUGAUCAAUACAUUUUCAUAAAUUUCAUUUUUAAUUAUUAUAAAGUUAUACACAAACAAAAAAUAACAUUACUCGAUAAUUAACAAUCAAUCAAAUACCAAUGCUUUAAAAAUUACACAGAAUAUAUUUUAAUGUUAUAAAAUGACGAUUACAGAUGCAUAUAAGUCCCCAUAUUUUAAAAUGCGCAGAUAAAUUAGAUCUGCAAAGCAGUAAAGGUAUGUUUCGUGAAUCUUUUAGAUAAAACUUUCGUCGCUACAUUAUUCGUUUAAUUAAAUAAUAUUUACACUUCAGAUGACGAUAACGUUUAUGGAAAGCACAAAAUACACUGGAAAUCUCUAAAUUGUAUAUUGGCUUGCACAUUCCGUGAGUUCAGUGAAAAAGAAGAGCAAAAUGCGUACAAUGGAAUUCUUUCCAGCAUUAAUUAUAGUAACUAUCUUCUUGUUAAUUUAUUAAAUUUUUAAGUUAAUUUCUCAUUUAAUCAUAUUCAAUGUAGUAUUCGCAAUGAGUACCGACCGUCACCAUUAUUCUUAUGAAAAGCUUUUAGAAAAGGUCAACGAGUGUCAAGCUAAAGGUAAAGAAAUUUUAUUUAUAUUUUCAGUACCUGCAGAUUAUAAAGUUAUAAAAUGGAGGAUACGUGUAUUAUUUUUAGGAUUGAACGAGUGUGACUUUGUUAAAUGCGUCAAUAUUUUCAACCCUCCAUUCAAGGGUUUUUUCUUUUAAAAUAAACAUUUCUUUGAUCCGAUAAUUACCUAGAUGAAAAGAACGUUUCGUGAUACAUGCUACUAUAAGAAGUGUCACAUGGUUUGUCAUAAAAUUGCAAAAUAAAAUAUUUUGUAUCGUGAUUAACCAUUUCCAAAUAAAAUAUUUUAAAGUUGUAAAAUUAAUCAAUUAGUAGCUAAUUAGUGAUGAAAAAGAAUGAAAGAGUAAAAAAAAUAUAUUAAUGAUUAAAUUGUUUUGUUAUUUAUUGCACAGAUUCUAAUGGAUGUGAAAGAGAACUCAAAAUUAGAAAAUUUACGAUGCAAGUCAUUGAACUCAUUGAUGCAUUGAUGCGCGUAAAUAUUACCAUAUAUCCGUUUAACUGUAACUCGCGAAACUGAAAGUUAUAAAACCAAAUGAAUUUAUUUUGGAUUUUAAUGUCAAAUUUCAUUACAUCAAAAUAUCACUUUGCAAUUUAUUUGUAACGGCACUUCCAAAUCAAAUUAAAUAGAAAAAAAAUUGUAGUGGACUCAUGAGAAAAAUUAAUUACUACAAUAAAUUCUAAAACUCGCCUCAAACAUUUGCAUAUAAUCGAAAUAUUGUUAUGUAACGAGAGUGAAAGUUGAAAUGGUGGUUAUAUAUCUAUAUGUUGCUGUAUGUGGUAUGUGCUAAGAGAGUUAUAAAAUGGCUCAACGUUUUCACAUCAUCAAUUCAACUUCUAACAUGACGGCUACAAAUUCGAAGGCCGUAUCUAUCCCACGUGUUUUAUAUUUCUGAUUUUAAAUAUAUAAUUUCCAUGUAAAUGGGUGGGAAUAAAAAGAAGACUUUAGCGCAUCUCCGGCUCAGUCUGUACGUGACUUUUGCCUUGAUUGAAAUAGAAGCAUGAAGCUGUUUCUCAUUUUUUUAAUUAUCUGCCUAUUAGGAUGUCAUAAAACAUGUAGCCAAAAACAGAAUUUACAGUACUCUAUUGCGAAGUUAAUCAUAACAGAAUGUCUGAGAGAGUAUAACGGUAGGAGUGAUCAAAUGGACAAAACUAAAGUUACAGAUCAUGGGAAAUUAUCUACUAACGAUGCGUCUUGUUUAUACGCGUGUGGAUUUCGAAAAUGGUCCGAAGAAAAAGGAUUGACCUUGUAUAACGGAUUUUUAAAAAUGAUUGAUGAAGUUUACGAAUCUGGCUUCCGUGUUACGAAAUUCACUCGCACUGAUAUAACUUCGAAAGUAAAGAGAUGUUCGAUCAAAGAAAACGACGAUUGUGAAUUCUCCAAGUGUGUUGGGAUUUUUGAACCGCCAUUCAUCGACAUAUACUUAUAUCGUAAAACAUGAAUGAAUUUUUGUACACAGAUAAUUACCGAAUAAAAAUGAUCAUGUUUUACUACUGUGAGUGUUUCAAUAAAAGAAUUCACUCAACUCACUUCUAAUUAAAAUAUUGGCAGCAACUGCAUUUUGAAUACGUCAUACAGGAACUGCGUGUUAACUUGAUCAUUUCCAUCCAAAUAACUGAUUCAUCAAUCCACGUCAUGCGACUUAUUAUCACUCGAACGCAACUCCAUCUCGCAAGCAUAUUUUUGCACGCUUUAAGUGUCUAAUCAUUACUUUGAUUGCUGUGAGAUAAUCGCAUAAUGAAAUUACAUACGAAGAUAAACAUAGUAGAUUUAAAAAAUAAAAUUCACGCUUAUCAUUAUAUCUUGAAAAUAAACGUUAUAUGUGUAGAUUACACUUGUGCCAUAUAGGUUAAUACAUCAAUAAACGGCAAAUUUGUUGGUUCGACACAUUUGACGAACUUGCAUUCAUCUCGCUCUGAAAUAUUCAGAAAGUAUUAAUUGCAAAAUAAUCAAAUGCGGAUUGGCCUAAACAGGCUAUCAAUACCUUGUAAAUCGACGUAACUGUUCUCUGAUAGUGGAUGAGAAAGCUUAUCUGUCCAGUCAAUACAUAUACACAUGAACAUAUAGUAUCGAAGAUGAACGAUUAUUUUAAUAAAGAACCAUAGGAAUGCGAGUUUUUCAAGUCCAACGGUCCUUUUUAUCCCAGAACGCCUUGGGAACUUGAAAAGUCAACGUGAAGGAGAAGUCGAUAGUUCAAUAUUAUCACCAGAAAGUUGAUAAUUUACCGUAUUUGAAUUCUAUAAACCAAUGUCGGUAUUUUCAUUCUGUAUUAACGUAUCUGUACGAUUUUAGAUCGAAAUGAAUGUGAAUUCUACAAGUCUUUAGAUAUCAUAGAGCCAUCACUACUAUAUAUUUAUUUACACAGAUUUAAAAAUCUUUUUAUGGUUUAUAGAGACAAAAUUCGUUUAAUUUUAAUUAAAACGAACGUAGAAUGACUAUUAAUAUAAAACUCCUGUAAUGACUAAUUUAAUUGCGAAAACAUACACUGUAUUCCAAUUAAUAUAACUUCAAAACACACUUUAUCACAUGAAAAACCCUAUACGUCUUACGACUUUAUUACAGUUAUAUACGUCAUAUGAUAAAAAUAUUGUGUUAGGUAUUUUUCCUACAAUAAAUCCACGUAGAUAGGGUUUAAAAUCGUUGAAUCUCUUGUUAUCGAAGAAAAUAUAGAGAGUUGUUAAUUAUAAUGUAAUAACCAUAUUCCUCGUCGUUUACAUCGAAACGAACGUCGAAGUUCUCAGUGGUUAAAUUAGAAAGGACCACAGACAAGAUAAAACUUAUAGAUUUUUUAAAUCCUCAUUGAAAAAAUACAUAAAUAUUCAUUAAACGCUUCCUUUUUAUUAAACUAUAUCGUUUUCUUAUCACUUUAAAUUAUCUUUACAGAACGGAAUACAAUCACGAAAGUAUUUCAAUACGUAAAUGGAAGCCCGGUUGACCCGGCUAUAAAACAAAAAAAUCACCAUACGUCUCGUACGUAUGUGAUUGCGAAUAUUUCGUGCAUGUACAUCGAAACGCGCUGUUGUUUUGUUACAAUUGAAGUAAAUUCUAUCCAAACAUAGGAGCUUAAUUCGUACUUUUCUUUCCAAAUAAAAUUUAAUAUAUUAAAAAUAAUAUUUAGUUUAGAAUGCUACCUGUUAUUACACAAAUUUCUAUAAAAACGAUUACACUCUGUACUUCGAUAAGAAUGAAGUUGACGAAAAUUGCAUAAUAAAAUUUCAUUAUGUUUUUUGUUUAUAGUGGAAAUUUCUUGAAUCAAAAGUAUUAAAAAAUCACAUUAUUAUACCAUGCCAUUUAGCAGAAACACCUUUUUAAAAAAUUGUUAUAUAUUCAUCAGAAUAAACAUUGUGUAU